rnacentral:lncRNA from 1 species
GGGUUUUCUUUCCUUUUUUCUUACUCAUUUGACUCAGGGCAGCCUUGUAAUUAUUUCUUCUGCUAAUACAUCGAAAGCGAGCGUUUGCUGGACCUUUCAAAAAAAACAUCUAUUGAUCGACGCAUGGCAGCAGGAAAGAAAAAAAAAGUCAGCCCCUGGUUUUGGAGUAGAAAAAUCACAUGGCCGCCAUGUGGUGCGUACGUAUACGAUCGGGCGCCAUCGACAGUUGGACAUCCCCCGGCCGGCCGGCCAAAGUACUCCCAGGACCC